rnacentral:rRNA from 1 species
AUGUUGGUGAAGCUGAUAGAUGGGCGAUGGGAGGUGACACACUUUGUUCGUGACCACAAUCAUCCGCUCAUGAUCAAACCUUCAUUGUCCAAAUACUUGAGAUCCCACCCAGGCAUCUCACCUGAUGAAAAGGAGUUUUUUCGCGUCGUGUAUAACUGCAACUUGAUUACAGGUGAUUACCAACCAAGUGGCAUGACGGGCCGUGCUACUACAGGUGAUCAAACACAAGCUCAUGAUGGUCUUGCCCAGUUGGAGGCUCCAUCCCUAGCACAAGCCUAUGAUGAUUUUGUGCCUAGGGAUCCUCCAAGGUCUACUACAAAGGGUAGGGCAAAGAGUCGACGGUACAAAUCGGCGCUGGAGCUAUACCCAAAGAAGAAAAACAAAUGCACCCACUGCCAAUCUACAGAGCACACUGCUGGUGUGUGUCCACUUAGGCUACUGUGA